AACGAACGCUGGCGGCAGGCCUAACACAUGCAAGUCGAACGCUCCGCAAGGGGAGUGGCGCACGGGUGAGUAACACGUGGGAACCUACCUUCUGGUACGGAACAACCAAGGGAAACUUUGGCUAAGACCGUAUACGACCUCCGGGUGAAAGAUUGAUCGCCGGAAGAGGGGCCCGCGUCCGAUUAGGUAGUUGGUGAGGUAACGGCUCACCAAGCCUUCGAUCGGUAGCUGGUCUGAGAGGAUGACCAGCCACACUGGGACUGAGACACGGCCCAGACUCCUACGGGAGGCAGCAGUGGGGGAUAUUGGACAAUGGGCGCAAGCCUGAUCCAGCCAUGCCGCGUGAGUGAUAA
rnacentral:rRNA from 1 species